rnacentral:rRNA from 1 species
UGGGGAAUUUUGGACAAUGGGCGCAAGUCUGAUCCAGCCAUGCCGCGUGCGGGAAGAAGGCCUUCGGGUUGUAAACCGCUUUUGUCAGGGAAGAAACGAGUUUCUCUAAUACAGAGACUUAAUGACGGUACCUGAAGAAUAAGCACCGGCUAACUACGUGCCAGCAGCCGCGGUAAUACGUAGGGUGCAAGCGUUAAUCGGAAUUACUGGGCGUAGAGCGUGCGCAGGCGGUUAUAUAAGACAGAUGUGAAAUCCCCGGGCUCAACCUGGGAACUGCAUUUGUGACUGUAUAGCUAGAGUACGGCAGAGGGGGAUGGAAUUCCGCGUGUAGCAGUGAAAUGCGUAGAUAUGCGGAGGAACACCGAUGGCGAAGGCAAUCCCCUGGGCCUGUACUAACGCUCAUGCACGAAAGCGUGGGGAGCAAACA